rnacentral:rRNA from 1 species
GAACGGCAGCACGGGGGCAACCCUGGUGGCGAGUGGCGAACGGGUGAGUAAUACAUCGGAACGUGCCCUGUAGUGGGGGAUAACCAGUCGAAAGAUUGGCUAAUACCGCAUACGACCUGAGGGUGAAAGCAGGGGAUCGCAAGACCUUGCGCUAUAGGGGCGGCCGAUGUCCGAUUAGCUAGUUGGCGGGGUAAGAGCCCACCAAGGCGACGAUCGGUAGCUGGUCUGAGAGGACGACCAGCCACACUGGGACUGAGACACGGCCCAGACUCCUACGGGAGGCAGCAGUGGGGAAUUUUGGACAAUGGGGGAAACCCUGAUCCAGCCAUGCCGCGUGCGGGAAGAAGGCCUUCGGGUUGUAAACCGCUUUUGGCAGGAACGAAACGGCGCGCGCUAAUACCGCGCGUUAAUGACGGUACCUGCAGAAUAAGCACCGGCUAACUACGUG